rnacentral:rRNA from 1 species
UACGGGGGGUGCGAGCGUUGUCCGGAAUCACUGGGCGUAAAGGGCGCGUAGGUGGUCUGAUAAGGGUGUGGUGAAAGCCCGGGGCUCAACCCCGGGUCGGCCGUGCCGACUGUUAGACUAGAGUGCUGUAGGGGCAGGCGGAAUUCCAGGUGUAGCGGUGAAAUGCGUAGAUAUCUGGAGGAAUACCGGUGGCGAAGGCGGCAUCCUGGACCGAGAUUGACACUGAUGAGCGAAAGCUAGGGGAGCAAACGGG